UACGGAGGGUGCGAGCGUUGUCCGGAAUCAUUGGGCGUAAAGGGCGCGUAGGUGGCCCGGUCAGUCUUUGGUGAAAGCGCGGGGCUCAACCCUGCGUCGGCCAGGGAUACUGCCGCGGCUGGAGCACUGUAGAGGCAGGCGGAAUUCCAGGUGUAGCGGUGAAAUGCGUAGAUAUCUGGAGGAACACCGGUGGCGAAGGCGGCAUCCUGGACCAACACUGACACUGAUGAGCGAAAGCCAGGGGAGCAAACGGG
rnacentral:rRNA from 1 species